rnacentral:lncRNA from 1 species
GCGAAUACAUGCCCAUAGAUAGAAAAUGAAGAGAACAACUGGGAUUGGAGAUAAACAAAUUUAAUUUUCGGAGUUUCCAUAAUAGUAUAUCGACCACAAUUGUGGUUGCAUUAACCAUAUUUUCCUACAAUUAUAUUAAACCCAACACAACUGCCACAAUGAUCAUAACAAUAAUUUAGAACAUUGUCCUGAUAUGGCUUGUAAGUAUUCAACUACAUAGUAGGUUACAAAGAUAAGACACACUUUAUCAAAUUGAUCUCCAAUUAAGAUACUUGUUAUUAACCAUCCUGAAUUCAAAAAUACUGUUCUAUAUCAGCAUUCAGCAUACUAUAAUUAAGAGAUAUUACACACCAUUCUCAACACAUACCUGAAUCUAUGUGAAGAUGACUCUCAACUCUACGCUAAGAGACUCCUCUAUAUCUAACACAUGCUUCACACAGCUUCAACAUAACCAGGCCCAAAAUAGAGCCAUGCGUUUUAAAGUCCCACCGAAUGUGCAAGUCUGUUUUCAAAAG